rnacentral:rRNA from 1 species
UACGUAGGGGGCAAGCGUUGUCCGGAAUUAUUGGGCGUAAAGCGCGCGCAGGCGGCCUGUUAAGUCGGAUGUGAAAGACCACGGCUCAACCGUGGGGGUGCAUCCGAAACUGGCGGGCUUGAGUGCAGGAGAGGGGAGUGGAAUUCCCGGUGUAGCGGUGGAAUGCGUAGAGAUCGGGAGGAACACCAGUGGCGAAGGCGGCUCUCUGGCCUGUAACUGACGCUGAGGCGCGAAAGCGUGGGGAGCAAACAGG